GUGCCAGCAGCCGCGGUAAGACGAGGGAUCCUAGCGUUGUUCGGAAUUAUUGGGCGUAAAGCGGAUGUAGGUGGCUUUGUAAGUCAGGUGUGAAAGCCUAGGGCUCAACCCUAGAAGUGCAUUUGAUACUGCGAAGCUUGAGUGUGGGAGAGGAUAGUAGAAUUCCUGGUGUAGUGGUAAAAUACGUAGAUAUCAGGAGGAAUACCGGAGGCGAAGGCGGCUAUCUGGCCCAACACUGACACUGAGAUCCGAAAGCGUGGGGAUCAAACAGGAUUAGAUACCCUGGUAGUCC
rnacentral:rRNA from 1 species